rnacentral:misc_RNA from 1 species
CUCUGGAAAUUUCUUCUCUCUGAUUCUCUCUCUAAAAUGGAUCGCAAAAGCUUGCUUAAUGUAGCGUUAAUGUGCGUCAUUGUUGCCAGUGUCGGUGGUCAAGCUCCGACGUCAGCUCCGACGGCGACACCGGUUACCCCUGCAGCCCCUACGGCUACUCCUGUGACUCCUGCAGCCCCUGUAACAGCACCCGCUAAGGCUCCUGUAAAACCUACAUCACCUGCUCCAGUUUCAUCUCCCGUAUCUUCACCACCCGCCAAGGCUCCUGUAAAACCUAAAUCACCUGCUCCAGUUUCAUCUCCCGUAUCUUCAC